CUGGUUGAUCCUGCCAGUAGUCAUAUGCUUGUCUCAAAGAUUAAGCCAUGCAUGUCUAAGUAUAAGCACCCUUAUACUUCGAAACUGCGUACAGCUCAUUAUAUCAGCAAUUAUUUAUUUGAAGGUCACCAAAUUACAUGGAUAACCGUGGUAAUUCUAGAGCUAAUACAUGCGAAAAGCCUCGGCGCAAGUCGAGGUGUAUUUAUUAGAUAAAGAAUCAAUAGCGGUUUCGCCGUUUUUAUUGAUGAAUCAUAAUAACUGUUCGAAUCGCACGGUCUUGCACUGGCGAUAGUUCAUUCAAAUUCUGCCCUGUCAGCUUUCGACGGUAGUGUAGUGGACUACCGUGGCGUUAACGGGUAACGGAGAAUUAGGGUUCGAUUCCGGAGAGGGAGCCUGAGAAACGGCUACCACAUCCAAGGAAGGCAGCAGGCGCGUAAAUUACCCAAUCUCAAUACGAGGAGGUAGUGACAAUAAAUAACAAUGUGUGACGGGGGUUCCCGUGGCCAAUUGGAAUGAGAACAAUUUAAACCCCUUAACGAUUAUCGACUGGAGGGCAAGUCUGGU
rnacentral:rRNA from 1 species